rnacentral:lncRNA from 1 species
UUAUGAAAAUGGCUUGACGUUGAAUCAAGCAUUUGAUGAAAGUUUGAAAAAGAUGGGAUGGAAUAGGAUGGAGAAAUGAGUUGGUUCGUUUAUUGAGAAAGUACUCGACGUUGGAUCGAGUCAUAUUUUUGUAUUUUUGAAAUUUGUUGAUUUUAUUCUUGUGUUAGUAGCUAACUAAAUAACCAAACAAUAAAGAAAUAAAAUAGUACAAGAUUAUCACACAUCGGGGGAGUGGGGUACAUUUUGUCAAAUGGGGAUUAAAAAUAAUGAAAUAAUUAAAUCGGGCCCAAACAACAAAUAAUGCAAAAGUAUGAGUGUAAGUGCAAGAGAACCAGCUCAUUGUAAGAAAGCCCAAGAGUAAGCUAUGUGAGGUUGAUGGCGAUGCUUAAAAAAGCAAUCGACUUACAAGGGUGUGAAAAAGGGCUCGAUAUUAAAUCGAGAAAAGUAUGAUUUUUAUAGUUAAAAAAAAAUGGUUUCGAAUGCAUGAUGCAAUUAAAAGAAAGAAGCAUGGACAUAAAAAAAUAUUAAAAGAAACAAAAUGCUAAAAGACAAUAAAAUAAUAAAAAAAUAAAAGCUAAAAGAAAAUGAAAUACUAAAAAAAGUGCUACGUACGUACAAGUAUCGAACCCACUCCUCUUGAGACUAUGGAAACCACCCUCUCCACCAGGCCACUUAUUA